AUUGAACGCUGGCGGGAUGCUUUACACAUGCAAGUCGAACGAGUGGCGGACGGGUGAGUAAUAUAUCGGAACGUGCCCAGUAGCGGGGGAUAACUACGGGAAAGAGUGGCUAAUACCGCAUACUAUGGGAUCGGCCGAUAUCGGAUUAGCUAGUGGGUGGGGUAAAGGCUCACCAAGGCCACGAUCCCUAGCUGGUCUGAGAGGACGACCAGCCACACUGGGACUGAGACACGGCCCAGACUCCUACGGGAGGCAGCAGUGGGGAAUUUUGCACAAUGGGGGCAACCCUGAUCCAGCCAUGCCGCGUGUAUGAGAAGGCCUUCGGGUUGUAAAGUACUUUUGGCAGAGAGGCGUUAUCUGCAGAAUAAGCACCGGCUAACUCCGUGCCAGCAGCCGCGGUAAUUC
rnacentral:rRNA from 1 species